GACGAACGCUGGCGGCGUGCUUAACACAUGCAAGUCGAACGAAGAGCGAUGGAAGCUUGCUUCUAUCAAUCUUAGUGGCGAACGGGUGAGUAACGCGUAAUCAACCUGCCCUUCAGAGGGGGACAACAGUUGGAAACGACUGCUAAUGCCGCAUACGAUCUGACCUCGGCAUCGAGGAUAGAUGAAAGGUGGCCUCUAUUUAUAAGCUAUCACUGAAGGAGGGGAUUGCGUCUGAUUAGCUAGUUGGAGGGGUAACGGCCCACCAAGGCGAUGAUCAGUAGCCGGUCUGAGAGGAUGAACGGCCACAUUGGGACUGAGACACGGCCCAGACUCCUACGGGAGGCAGCAGUGGGGAAUCUUCCGCAAUGGACGAAAGUCUGACGGAGCAACGCCGCGUGAGUGAUGACGGCCUUCGGGUUGUAAAGCUCUGUUAAUCGGGACGAAAGGCCUUCUUGCGAAUAGUUAGAAGGAUUGACGGUACCGGAAGAGAAAGCCACGGCUAACUACGUG
rnacentral:rRNA from 1 species